rnacentral:rRNA from 1 species
GCCAGCAGCCAGAUCACUCUACAACUCACAACUGGCAGCCCACUGAAGCUCAGUAGGUGUGAGCCUGGUCAGUACCUGGAUGGGAGACCUCCUGGGAAAAACUAAGGCUGCUGCUGGAA